GAAUUAGCAUUACUACCAGCUGGUGUCCUACUUAUGUUAUAGAAAUGUGACAGCAAAUGUGAUAUGAACUCCUUAGAAGCAUUUUUAUACACAUUGCUGGCUUUAAUUGUGAAUGCUACAGUAACUCUCCUGACUGUUUUUCUUCUUCUGCCUUUAGACAAUUACCCAAGGUUAAGAUGCAAUAAACAUGUGCCUAUUUUCUAUCCAAAAUCUCAAUCAGAUUAAAAUGCUUCUCUAAAGACCUGAAAGGCUUAUUUGUUUAUUUGUAUUCAUGUAGGAUUUGGGGGGAUGAAAGAAUUGGUGAUUAAUCAACAUAUUAUUUUCCCAAUAAACAGACUAUUCUGACAAAUGUUUAGUGGCAAAUAAUAGCAACAGCAAUAAUGGCAACAAUAAACUUAGAACAGAAAUGGA
ensembl:lncRNA novel transcript